UUAGCCAGUAGUGGUGGUGCAUGCCUGUAACCCCAGCUAUUAUGGAGGCUGAGGUAGAAGAAUGACUUGAACCUGGGAAGCAGAGGCUGCAGUGAGCCAAGAUUGCAUCACUACGCUCUAGCCUGGGUGACACGGUGAGACUCUGUCUCAAAAGAGAGAGAGAAAAAGAAAAGAAUAGGAAUGUAGGACUCAGCAACUAGACCAUUCCCAACCUCCUUCUCUGUGAGGCCCUUCUCCUUGAGUGAGAAAACACUGAAUGAGCUGAUGUCUAAGGAUGCUUUGAGCCCUGUCAUUUUAGAAAUCAAUACAUACUUCCGGGAACUGGAGGAUUUAGUUUGGGAAAGUAAAGGUUCCUUGCACUGUGACUAGCUCACCCUGUCACCUUGCUUAAGCACCUUGCCCACUCUAGACCUCAGUUUUCCCAUCUAGAAACUGGAAGCACUGGACUUGGUUGUCCAAGUCCUUCUAGCUUUGAAACUCUAGGCCUCUGCCCUGGUAAGGUUGUGGGAAAAGAAGACCCAGGGAGGCGUAUAUGGGGGCAAGGGGUCAGGGACAGCAAGAAUAAGGUGAUUUUCAGAGAUUCUAUCCAGGAACAAUCCAAGAAGCAACUCAGGUAGGACUGAGGGUUGUAUGAAGCAAUAAGACUCCACAUUCAAAUCAAUUAAAGAGGUCAUGGCCACAGUUUCUGUGUUAGAAAGAAUAGGAGGAGAACUAGGGAAUUGUAUUAUGUGGGACUGUAUUUCGUGGGAUAGAUGGAUAGAUAGACAGACGGGUGGACAGAUGGGUAGAUGGAUAGAUGAAUGGAUUAACAGAUGAACAGAUGGAUAGAUGGAUAAGUGGAUAGAAGCUUGGGUGGACAUAUGGAUGAAUUGGAUGGAUGGAUGGAUGGAUGGAUGGAUGGAUGGACAGAUGGAUGAAAGCUUGGGUGGAUGAAUAGAUGGAUAGACAGCUGAAUGAAAGUUUGGGUAGAAGAAUGGAUAGACAGAUGAAUGGAAGGUUGGGUGGAUAAGUAGAUGAAUGGACAGGUGAAUGGAAGGUUGGGUGGACAGAUGGCUGAAUGAAUGGGUGGAUGGAUAGAUAAAUGGACAAUGAAUGGAUGGACAGGCAGGUAGAUGGAGGAAAGGAUGGGGAAUGUUUAGGAAAGUGGUUUGGUGGAGAGAGUGGGUACAUAUAUUUGGCAGGUGGGAAGAUGCUCAGAUAGAGGGGCAGGCAGAUACAAGUGGGUAAGUAGAUGGGUUUGUGAAUGGGCAGGCAGAUAAACAGAAAGGUCAGUGGGUGUAUGGGCAGGCAGGUGUAUGCCCAGGUGAUUGGAUGGGUGGAUGAGUGGAUGAGUAGGUUUUACAAUGUAAGGGAGUGAGAGGACAAAACUUGACUGAUUGAUUGAUUGGCUUGUUCGUUUUCUUAGCUAUUACCUCAUUUCCUCUUCCAUAUCCUACUCCUAUUCAGCCAGACACCUGAAAAGUUUACAGCAAGUUUCUCUAUGUGUGGAAAUUGUACCAUUUAUAAGAUUAUUUGGCCUGGUGCGGUGGCUUAUGCCUGUAAUCCCAGCACUUUGGGAGGCCGAGGAGGGCGGAUCACUUGAGGUUAGGAGUUUGAGACCAGCCUGGCUCACGUGGCGAAAUCCCAUCUCUACUAAAAAUACAAAAAUUAGCUGGGUGUGGUGGCGCGUGCCUGUAAUCCCAGCUACUCAGGAGGCUGAGACAGGAGAAUUGCUUGAAUGCAGGAGGCAGAGGUUACAGUGAGCUGAGAUUGUGCCACUGCACUCUAGCCUGGGUGACAGAGCAAGACUCCCUCUCAAAAAAAAAUUAUUUUAUGUAAUUACUGAAAUACAGUAAUCUUAGAAAGAACCGAGACAGAAAGUUCCAUCUGGUGCUACCAUGUCUUUAACACUUUGUUGACACUUGUGAUUCUCCCUUUUUAAAAAGAGAAAGUAGACUGUAAA
rnacentral:lncRNA from 1 species